rnacentral:rRNA from 1 species
AACGAACGCUGGCGGCACGCCUAACACAUGCAAGUCGAACGAAGCCUUCGGGCUUAGUGGCGCACGGGUGCGUAACGCGUGGGAAUCUGCCCUUGGGUUCGGAAUAACAGUUAGAAAUGACUGCUAAUACCGGAUGAUGUCUUCGGACCAAAGAUUUAUCGCCCAAGGAUGAGCCCGCGUAGGAUUAGGUAGUUGGUGGGGUAAUGGCCCACCAAGCCGACGAUCCUUAGCUGGUCUGAGAGGAUGAUCAGCCACACUGGGACUGAGACACGGCCCAGACUCCUACGGGAGGCAGCAGUGGGGAAUAUUGGACAAUGGGCGAAAGCCUGAUCCAGCAAUGCCGCGUGAGUGAUGAAGGCCUUAGGGUUGUAAAGCUCUUUUACCAGGGAUGAUAACGACAGUACCUGGAGAAUAAGCUCCGGCUAACUCCGUGCCAGCCGCCGCGGUAA